AACGAACGCUGGCGGCAGGCCUAACACAUGCAAGUCGAGCGAGGACUUCGGUUCUAGCGGCGGACGGGUGAGUAACGCGUGGGAAUGUGCCCUUCUCUACGGAAUAGCCCUGGGAAACUGGGAGUAAUACCGUAUACGCCCUAUUGGGGAAAGAUUUAUCGGAGAAGGAUCAGCCCGCGUUGGAUUAGGUAGUUGGUGGGGUAAUGGCCUACCAAGCCGACGAUCCAUAGCUGGUUUGAGAGGAUGAUCAGCCACACUGGGACUGAGACACGGCCCAGACUCCUACGGGAGGCAGCAGUGGGGAAUCUUAGACAAUGGGGGCAACCCUGAUCUAGCCAUGCCGCGUGAGUGAUGAAGGCCUUAGGGUUGUAAAGCUCUUUCAGCUGGGAAGAUAAUGACGGUACCAGCAGAAGGAGCCCCGGCUAACUCCGUG
rnacentral:rRNA from 1 species